rnacentral:rRNA from 1 species
GACGAACGCUGGCGGCGUGCCUAAUACAUGCAAGUAGAACGCUGAAGCGAGGAGCUUGCUCUUCUUGGAUGAGUUGCGAACGGGUGAGUAACGCGUAGGUAACCUGCCUUGUAGCGGGGGAUAACUAUUGGAAACGAUAGCUAAUACCGCAUAACAAUGGAUGACCCAUGUCAUUUAUUUGAAAGGGGCAAAUGCUCCACUACAAGAUGGACCCGCGUUGUAUUAGCUAGUAGGUGAGGUAACGGCUCACCUAGGCGACGAUACAAAGCCGACCUGAGAGGGUGAUCGGCCACACUGGGACUGAGACACGGCCCAGACUCCUACGGGAGGCAGCAGUAGGGAAUCUUCGGCAAUGGGGGCAACCCUGACCGAGCAACGCCGCGUGAGUGAAGAAGGUUUUCGGAUCGUAAAGCUCUGUUGUAAGUCAAGAACGAGUGUGAGAGUGGAAAGUUCACACUGUGACGGUAGCUUACCAGAAAGGGACGGCUAACUACGUG